UCCUGACCGUGCUAAGGUAGCAUAAUCAUUUGCCUCUUAAUUGGUGGCUAGUAUGAAUGGACACACGCAAGCAUCGCUGUCUCACUAAUAUAAAUAAAAACUAACCUUUAGGUGAAGAGGCCUAAAUAAAAUAAAAAGACAAAAAGACCCUAUGGAGCUUUAUUUUUCCUCCUUUAACGUACAAUAUACUAAAAUACCUUCCAGGACUAACAAAUUUAGUUGGGGCGACUUAGGAAAACAAUAAAUCUUCCUAGUUUAACAAGAAAAUAAUUCAUCCAACGAUCCGCCAUGCGAAUACAGAUCCAGCUACCCUAGGGAUAACAGGCUAAUUCUUCUCGAGAGCCCGAAUUGACAGAAGAGAUUGGCACCUCG
rnacentral:rRNA from 1 species